rnacentral:rRNA from 1 species
CACGUAGGGGGCGAGCGUUGUCCGGAUUUAUUGGGCGUAAAGAGCUCGUAGGCGGCUCAGUAAGUCGGGUGUGAAACCUCCAGGCUCAACCUGGAGACGCCACCUGAUACUGCUGUGGCUUGAGUCCGGUAGGGGAGCGUGGAAUUCCUGGUGUAGCGGUGAAAUGCGUAGAUAUUCGCAAGAACACCAGUGGCGAAGGCGGCUCACUGGCCCGGUACUGACGCUGAGGUGCGAAAGCGUGGGGAGCAAACAGG